AUAAGAUAAGAUAGUCACGUUCUGUUGAAUAUAAAAUAUCUGAUCAUGUUUAAUGAACUGUUUAAAGUCGAGCUCUUGGUUCCCCCCCAGAUGUCCUGAGAUUUCAUUACGUGAAGCAGUACUCCCUGUACAGUCUUGGAAUGAAGCACGCAUUCACCAUCCAGUCAGCUGACCACAGUCAUGACUACUUGAUGUUACUAGAAGAUGACAAUGGCGGUAUGAGGGUCAACCAGGCGAAGAUCAUUGAGAAAGACAUUAGCUCCAUCAACGGGGUCAUCCACAUCAUUGACGACGUCCUCAUUCCACCAAGAGUUCUUGUGGCUAUCCGCGACCAGUCCAUCGUCGUAGGUUAAUCUAGCCCUCCUGUAGAACCAAUGCAAACAGAUGAUUCAAUCUUGACUUGUAAUUUAACCCAUUAUAAACAGUCUUGAAUUUCGUUUUGUACAUAACGUUUGUUGAUUUUUUUUUACUGGAGAUUUGUCGUAAAAGGGAAUUCCACCCAUAAACAAUGUAGUGUUUGAUAAUUUACAAAUACAGUAUUCAUUUUUUAAGCAAUUAAAUAAUUUUUGGAUACUUCUUAGCAGUGUAUAAUACAAAACUAAUAAAUUAAAAUUAAAUUUUCUCUAGAAAGUAGAUUGCUUUGCUUAAUCGUUACAAAUUGUCUUCAACUCCGACUAGACUUUGAGUUAAUACACGGAAAAUACAUUAAUAGAAUAGCAAAAGUUUUAGAACAAAAAUACUAUAAUAAAAUAGAAGAAUAAAUAAAUGGAUAUAUGAUAUGAUAUUUGAUAUUUUGGCUUUUUUGACACAUCAUCGAAAUUGAGGCCAUGUCGUGCCCAUAAUCCCCCAGGGGUUACUGCCCCUAUCUAGGUCAAAUGUUAAGUUAUACAACUGAAGUAUUAAAAAUAAAUAAUACA
rnacentral:sRNA from 1 species